rnacentral:piRNA from 1 species
UUACAGUUAAACCUGCAGAUGUGGAGG